GUGCCAGCAGCCGCGGUAAUACGUAGGGUGCAAGCGUUAAUCGGAAUUACUGGGCGUAAAGCGUGCGCAGGCGGUUUUGUAAGUCUGUCGUGAAAGUCCCGGGCUCAACCUGGGAAUUGCGAUGGAGACUGCAAGGCUUGAAUCUGGCAGAGGGGGGUAGAAUUCCACGUGUAGCAGUGAAAUGCGUAGAGAUGUGGAGGAACACCGAUGGCGAAGGCAGCCCCCUGGGUCAAGAUUGACGCUCAUGCACGAAAGCGUGGGGAGCAAACAGGAU
rnacentral:rRNA from 1 species